rnacentral:rRNA from 1 species
AUUGAACGCUGGCGGCAGGCCUAACACAUGCAAGUCGAACGGUAACAGGAAGCAGCUUGCUGCUUCGCUGACGAGUGGCGGACGGGUGAGUAAUGUCUGGGAAACUGCCUGAUGGAGGGGGAUAACUACUGGAAACGGUAGCUAAUACCGCAUAACGUCGCAAGACCAAAGAGGGGGACCUUCGGGCCUCUUGCCAUCGGAUGUGCCCAGAUGGGAUUAGCUAGUAGGUGGGGUAACGGCUCACCUAGGCGACGAUCCCUAGCUGGUCUGAGAGGAUGACCAGCCACACUGGAACUGAGACACGGUCCAGACUCCUACGGGAGGCAGCAGUGGGGAAUAUUGCACAAUGGGCGCAAGCCUGAUGCAGCCAUGCCGCGUGUAUGAAGAAGGCCUUCGGGUUGUAAAGUACUUUGCAGCGGGGAGGAAGGCGAUAAGGUUAAUAACCUUGUUCGAUUGACGUUACCCCGCGAAGAGCACCGCUAC